UAACGCGUGAGCAAUCUGCCUUUAAGAGGGGGAUAACAGUCGGAAACGGCUGCUAAUACCGCAUAAAGCAUUGAACCGCAUGAUUUUGAUGCCAAAGGAGCAAUCCGCUUUUAGAUGAGCUCGCGUCUGAUUAGCUGGUUGGCGGGGUAACGGCCCACCAAGGCGACGAUCAGUAGCCGGACUGAGAGGUUGAACGGCCACAUUGGGACUGAGACACGGCCCAG
rnacentral:rRNA from 1 species